AUUGCCUUUUUGUCCGCUGUGGUACUUGGAUGUAGGCCUGGGGGUUAUUCUUUCCCCUGUGGAGCUGCUCUUGAGGGGCGGCUGGCGGUCGGGGGUCCUGUGCUCAGUGCUGAGGACAGGACAGUGUGGCUGGAAGCUAAAGAUAUCGGUGCUGGAGGGCGGGGAGCAGGCGGCGAGGCCUCAGGUUCUGCAGAGCCUCAAUCUCCUUGGCACUAUUAUAAUGACCAACAUCACAAGAAAUAUGUAGAAAAAUCCUUUAUUAACCAGGUAAAUCAGCUGAGAUCGAAUUCUCAUUUACGUUUACCAGGAGGCUGAAGGCUUAUUUUCCAAAAUCUUAAAAUUGCAUAAUCAACUGCAGUUGAUCAAUUAAAGUGUUCCUGCCCUCUAGCCCUUUAGAAGUUAG
rnacentral:lncRNA from 1 species